rnacentral:lncRNA from 1 species
AUGCAAACAUCCUUUCAAGAUAUAAGAAGAUUUGCUAAUUGCGAUCUGAGUUUAGAACAGAAAUUAAAGAUGCUGAAUUUUAUGAAGAGAUUUGGUAAAGUGUCUCUAUGCUUAUCUGCUAAUGAUUACUUCAACGUCACCAAGAAAUUUCCGAUUAAGAUGGCGAGUUCCCUUUACUCCGUAUUUUCUGGUCUUCUGAAUCUGAGAACAGCUUCGAGACAUAAUACUCUGUAGUUGAUAUGUUCAAUGUACCUGUUUCCA